rnacentral:lncRNA from 1 species
AAUGCAAUCAAUGUGAUAAAGCUUUUGCAAAUUAUGGUCAACUUCAAAGGCAUGAAAGAACACAUACUAGAAAGAAACCUUACCAAUGUAAUGAAUGUGGUAAAGCCUUUGCAUAUCUUAGUAUUAUCCAAAUGCAUAAAAGAACACAUACUGGAGAGAAACCUUAUAAAUGUAAUCAAUGUGGUAAAGCCUUUGCAUAUCUUAGUACUCUCGAAAAACAUAAAAGAACACACAGUGGAGAGAAACCCUAUGAAUGUAAUCAAUGUGGUAAAGCCUUUGCACGACAAAGUAAUCUCCAAGGGCAUAAAAGAACACAUACUGGAGAGAAACCCUAUGAAUGUAAUCAAUGUGGUAAAGCCUUUGCACGACAAAGUCAUCUCCAAGUGCAUAAAAGAACACAUACGGGAGAGAAACCUUACAAAUGUAAUCAAUGUGGUAAAGCCUAUAAAUGUCGUAGUAGUGUCAACAAUCAUAAAAUAAUGACAUAUAGUGGACAGAAACCCUAUGAAUGUAACCAAUGUGGUAAAGCCUUUGUGUAUCACUGUAUUCUCCGAAAACAUAAAAGAACACAUACUAGAGAGAAAUCUUACAAAUUGAAUCAAUGUGGUAAAACCUAUAAAUUUAAUGGUCUCCAAAAUCAUAAAACAACAGAUACUGGAGAGAAACUCUAUGAAUGUAAUGAAUGUGGUAAAGCCUUUCCACAUCUUCAUAGACUUAAAAGACAUGAAAGAAUUCAUACUGGAGAGAAGCCUUACAAAUGUAAUGA